rnacentral:lncRNA from 1 species
GCCAACUUCUGUGCCCACCUGCCUGGCAGCAAACCUGCACUCCGCGUGCACACAGAACGGAUCCUUCCUUCCACAGAAAAGGAAACCUCUGAAUGUUUAAUCUUUAUUUCGCAUCAUGCCCUAAUUUUAACAGUUUCUGUACGGUGGCUCAGUGAGGUCCACCAUCCUCAGUGAGGUCCACAGUGAGAACCCUGCAUGCAUUGGCAGAAACACAUUCCUCAAGGUUGAUCAGCACCAUUACAAAACAAGAGAUGGACACAGAGGAAAAGCAGG